UUCAUACUUCCUUCGUCCGAAAUUACUUGUCACAAAAAUGCAUAGAAAUGGAUGUAUCUAAAACUAAAAUAAGUCUAAAUACAUCCAUUUGUGCGACAAGUAAUUUCGAAUGAAGGGAGUAUAAU
rfam:Hordeum vulgare subsp. vulgare, WGS project CAJW01000000 data, contig: morex_contig_2558441